UACGUAGGGGGCAAGCGUUGUCCGGAUUUAUUGGGCGUAAAGAGCGUGUAGGCGGCCAGAUAGGUCCGUUGUGAAAACUCGAGGCUCAACCUCGAGACGCCGAUGGAAACCAUUUGGCUAGAGUCCGGAAGGGGAGAGUGGAAUUCCUGGUGUAGCGGUGAAAUGCGCAGAUAUCAGGAAGAACACCCGUGGCUAAGGCGGCUCUCUAGUACGGUACUGACGCUGAGACGCGAAAGCGUGGGGAGCGAACAGG
rnacentral:rRNA from 1 species